rnacentral:rRNA from 1 species
GCGGCCUAUCAGCUUGUUGGUGAGGUAAUGGCUCACCAAGGCGACGACGGGUAGCCGGCCUGAGAGGGCGACCGGCCACACUGGGACUGAGACACGGCCCAGACUCCUACGGGAGGCAGCAGUGGGGAAUAUUGGGCAAUGGAGGGAACUCUGACCCAGCGACGCCGCGUGCGGGAUGAAGGCCUUCGGGUUGUAAACCGCUUUCAGCAAGGAAGAAGCGAAUGUGACGGUACUUGCAGAAGAAGCACCGGCUAACUAUGUGCCAGCAGCCGCGGUAAUACAUAGGGUGCAAGCGUUGUCCGGAAUUAUUGGGCGUAAAGAGCUCGUAGGUGGUUCGUCACGUCGGAUGUGAAAAUCUGGGGCUUAACCCCAGACCUGCAUUCGAUACGGGCGAGCUAGAGUGUGGUAGGGGAGACUGGAAUUCCU